AACGAACGCUGGCGGCAUGCCUAACACAUGCAAGUCGAACGAGAUCUUCGGGUCUAGUGGCGCACGGGUGCGUAACGCGUGGGAAUCUGCCCUGUGGUUCGGAAUAACAGUUGGAAACGACUGCUAAUACCGGAUGAUGACGAAAGUCCAAAGAUUUAUCGCCAGAGGAUGAGCCCGCGUAGGAUUAGCUAGUUGGUGUGGUAAAGGCGCACCAAGGCGACGAUCCUUAGCUGGUCUGAGAGGAUGAUCAGCCACACUGGGACUGAGACACGGCCCAGACUCCUACGGGAGGCAGCAGUGGGGAAUAUUGGACAAUGGGCGAAAGCCUGAUCCAGCAAUGCCGCGUGAGUGAUGAAGGCCUUAGGGUUGUAAAGCUCUUUUACCCGGGAUGAUAAUGACAGUACCGGGGGAAUAAGCUCCGGCUAACUCCGUGCCAGCCGCCGCAGUAA
rnacentral:rRNA from 1 species